rnacentral:misc_RNA from 1 species
GAUGAAGAACGCAGCGAAACGCGAUACGUAAUGUGAAUUGCAAAUUCAGUGAAUCAUCGAGUCUUUGAACGCACAUUGCGCCCCCUGGUAUUCCGGGGGGCAUGCCUGUCCGAGCGUCAUUGCUGCCCUCAAGCACGGCUUGUGUGUUGGGCCCCGUCCUCCGAUCCCGGGGGACGGGCCCGAAAGGCAGCGGCGGCACCGCGUCCGGUCCUCGAGCGUAUGGGGCUUUGUCACCCGCUCUGUAGGCCCGGCCGGCGCUUGCCGAUCAACCCAAAUUUUUAUCCAGGUUGACCUCGGAUCAGGUAGGGAUACCCGCUGAACUUAAGCAUAUCAAUAAGCGGAGGA